CAACCCUCCUACGUUAAUCAAAAAAUCCAAAUCCACGGUCCAUGUUCCACCAACAUAUCCUCAAACUCCCACACCCGCACUCCCCGCGCGUGUCAUUCACAACCGUUCCAAAUUCCUCGUUAUUCACACCACAACCAAACACAACACAAAACAACAACAAAAGUUUCACUUUCAAAGAAACACAAACCUCACUCGCUACAACCUCGUAGAACUCUCUUCACACUCUAUUCUUAUAGAUCCCUCUCUUCACCCUCUUACAUUAUCAUUAUUAUUCUCUCAUUCAUCCAUUCAUUCUUCACAAUGAGUGUUUUUCAUCUUCAUUGA